CGUAUUUUGUAGGCGAAUGACUAAAGCAUCAAUACAACAAUAACUUGAUUAAAGUCACAAGGCAGUAACGUAGUUUGGUCAAAAAUUCAGACUCUGGUCUCCCAAGCCUGGGGCCCUAGUCGCUUUGUCACAUGGCAUGAUGUUUAUUCAUCUCAACCCAAACAAGUAACCCAAUGGAAUAUGGAAUACCCAGUGGCUAGAGAAAGAUACUGGAAAAUUAGAUCUCUUAGAAGUACAGCUCACGGAAAUUUCACUGGACAAAAGUAUAUACGUGAUUUGUGAAAUCAGAUGGGAUAAGGCAUUUGAAAGGUAUUCUAAAAGCUGAAGUAUAAAGUAAUAUUAUUUCAAGCGAAGACUUUUGAAAUUAUGUAAUUCCUCCAGUGGAUGUCUGUUCUUCUACGUUGGAUGACAUCCCUUCUUCAAAAUCCUAUACCUUACUCACUCUACCCUCUGUGGAGAACUCUAUCAGAAACCACUGGAAAAGCCUUUGGCCUGCUCUCCUCAUUCAUGCUUUGAGAAACUUCUUGUGCUUCCAGAGUACUGCAUGUAGUCCUGGGAUCCUGCCAACUAGGAGUUAUAUAUGUGACGAAGAAAGGAGAGCAAUCAAUGAGUAAGAACCCAAGUCACCUCACCAAUGACAUCCAUAUGCUGAUAAAAACAAUGGAAAAAUAAUAGCGUGGGAAACAGCCUACCAGAGCAAAGCAAGAGAUGCCAGUUUGGAAGAGAUAUCAAAAUAUAUGAGAUUGAUGGGCAAAAAGGCUCAAGCAAUGACAUUCUGUGGAUAAGGAGCACAGAGAAUGAUGGUUGUUAAAUAACCGCAUAGAUUGGAAAACUCCCCUGAAAAUUUAAUUGUAAAGGUUUGUCAGCAGCAAGGUCUAUAGUGGUUUAUAGCAAAUCUUUUGGUAAAAAUUCCCUAACCAACAACCCUAAAUCUUAUAUAUUGUUACUGAUCAUCUGCUAUUUUCUAGGAUUUUCAAUUGG